UUCAGCCACCGCUGUGGUCACCUGCAGGUCUGCAUUCCUAUGCAAAGGUCAGAACUGUCCAGUCACAGGCAUAGGAGCCAAACCGUACAAGGUGCCUUUCAUGUCAAUCAAGAGCAGAAAGCUUGAUCACUCUGGGAAGGGUGUGCAUCGAGAGGUGUGACCCGGAAAGCCAGGGGUGCUGAGGAUGGAUGCAUAAACUUACUCCAGGCUCAUGCAUCAUGAGGCAGGGCCAACAUGUCACGACAGAGCAUCUGAUCCUCCUCAGUUAUCAGUUUGUCAGAAAUUAAGAAGCUUG